GAAAAGUGAAGGGGUCUAGUUUUAGUGUAAGAGGAAGAUGCUGGAAUAAUAGAAGGCAGAUCAAAGAUAAAAAAAAUGAAGGGUAAUGCUAACUUGUGUCUUAUAAGAAAUCCACUUAUAGAAAAUUUAUAUUAAAAAAAAAUUAAAAGAUUAAUUUUAUACUUUUAUUAAAAUCAAUGCACAAUUUCCAACAUAACAUUACUUUUUUUAAUUUAAUU
rnacentral:lncRNA from 1 species